GACGGAGGAUGCAAGUGUUAUCCGGAAUCACUGGGCGUAAAGCGUCUGUAGGUGGUUUAAUAAGUCAACUGUUAAAUCUUGAGGCUCAACCUCAAAAUCGCAGUCGAAACUAUUAGGCUAGAGUAUAGUAGGGGUAAAGGGAAUUUCCAGUGGAGCGGUGAAAUGCGUAGAGAUUGGAAAGAACACCAAUGGCGAAAGCACUUUACUGGGCUAUCACUGACACUGAGAGACGAAAGCUAGGGUAGCAAAUGGG
rnacentral:rRNA from 1 species